AUCAACAACAACCCAAAAAAUAAAUAAAAAAAUUGCGUAAUCGCCUUCCAAAAGGCCGGUUUUUAGAAACAGGCAUAAUUAUAAAAUAUUUUUAAUGUCCCAGAGUUUUUAUUUUAGGGAUUGUAACAAAGUAUUUGUGUAAAGCAGAUGUGGGCACAUGUCUAAAAGGGAUGAAAAUUAUAAACAUAUGAGUUUAACAUUUAUG